rnacentral:rRNA from 1 species
CCUACGGGAGGCAGCAGUGAGGAAUAUUGGUCAAUGGGCGCUAGCCUGAACCAGCCAAGUAGCGUGAAGGAUGACUGCCCUAUGGGUUGUAAACUUCUUUUAUAUGGGAAUAAACUGCAGUAUGUAUACUGCUUUGCAUGUACCUUAUGAAUAAGGAUCGGCUAACUCCGUGCCAGCAGCCGCGGUAAUACGGAGGAUCCGAGCGUUAUCCGGAUUUAUUGGGUUUAAAGGGAGCGUAGGCGGGUUGUUAAGUCAGUUGUGAAAGUUUGCGGCUCAACCGUAAAAUUGCAGUUGAUACUGGCAGCCUUGAGUACAGUAGAGGUAGGCGGAAUUCGUGGUGUAGCGGUGAAAUGCUUAGAUAUCACGCAGAACUCCGAUUGCGAAGGCAGCCUGCUGGACUGUAACUGACGCUGAUGCUCGAAAGUGUGGGUAUCAAACAGGAUUAGAUACCCGAGUAGUC